rnacentral:lncRNA from 1 species
ACAGGGGUCUGUAGUCUCAGGGAGCCCCAGGUGAGUGCGUGGCGUGAGAGGAUAAUGGGGCUCCUGGGCCAGAGACACAAAGAGUGAGAGACAGUGAGACCUGGUUUCCAGAAUGGAGAAGGGGUUUAUGGGAGGAAUGAGCCCCUGCAUCCACAGGUGGUCUUUCUCCCAGGAGAGUCUGGGAAGCUCUCCCUUCUGACCUAGAAGGGACCUGUGGUGGCCUCUGGGCAGAGACUGACCCUCCAGUGCCCCUCUGAUGUCGGCUAUGACAGAUUUGCUCUUCCCAAGGAGGGUGGACAUGACCUCCCCCAGGACCUUGGACGGCAGCCCUAGGCUGGGCUCUGUCAGGCAGACUUCCGCCUGGGCCCUGUGAGACCCUACCAUGGGGGCCAGUAUAGGUGCUACAGUGCAUACAACCGGUCCUCGAAAUGGUCAUCCCCCAGCGACCCCCUGGACACUCUGGUGGAAGAUGAAGAGACAGCUGGUCAGUCAGGGACCCAGACCCUGCACAGGCCUUGCUGUGGUGAUUCCUGGAUGAAGGAAGGAGAGAGAUAAAGAGAGACAGGGGAGAGAAAGGGAGAGAGAGACAUUCAAAGGGAACAAGACAGACAGAGAUGAGGGUCCUCAGAGAGAGGCCUGGGGACUUUCAGUUAAGAACAUGGUGAGAGGGCAGCCCCUCAUACACCCUUCCUCUCUCUUGGACAGCUCCCUGACACACCCUCUCUCUUAGUGCAGCUGUGCCCCCUGGUGGCCUCAGGAGAGAACGUGACCCUGCUGUGUCAGUCAUGGACCCCGAGGAACAUUUUCCUUCUGUCCAAGGAGGGGACAGCGGAUCCCCCACUGCGCCUUAGAUCAAAGUACCAAGCUCAGUAGAACCGGGUCCAAUUACCCAUGAGUCCUGUGACCUCAGCCCACAGGGAGACCUACAAAUGUUACAGCUAAUACAACACUAUCCUCUACCUGUUAUCACACUCCACUGACACCCUGGAUCUCACGGUCUCAAGAGCUGCUGAUGCCAUCAACCCAUCAUGAAACAAGCCAGGUCCCAAGAGCGGUGACUAGGAGAAAUUCUCAGUUAUGGGGCUGGUGCAGACGGUAAUGUCUUGUCAAGGGGAGGCGCAGUGUCCUGAGGGGAUAUCCAGGGAUCCUGGUGUGAUUUUGACCUGCCCUGACCUCUGUGAACACUUAGACUGCAAUUCUUAGAGUCACACCCCCAAGACUAUACGGUGGAGAAUCUCAUCUGGAUAGGCAUGGCUAUCUUGAUCCUGGUGCUCCUUGGGGUCCUGCUUAUUCAAGCUCGACACACCCAGAGAACGACCCAAGAUGCAGCCAGGAGGUAAACACAAGAGGGAACACUGCACCAUUCAGAGUGGUGGAGAAUUAGAACAAGUCUGAUGAUCCCAGGAGGUUGAAAGUAAAUCUGGACCAUAAGUUUGGGGAUCUGUCUGCUGAAAAUGUUGAGGGAUGUAAACCUGGUUUAGAUUCAGGAAAAUGUCUCGAGUGCUCCCUGUACAGGAUGCUCCCUCCAUUAAAUUUGUAUUUUCUCUCCCUACCAUCGUUGGCUUUCGUUGACUGGCUCUCCCUUUUUCUCACCCCUAUCACAUGAGGGUACAUCCUUCGUGGCUGGUUUGGGUCCACAUGUAAAACCUCAUGUUCUUAAACACUGUUCUGUAAUACAAUUUUCUUUUUUUUUUUUAAAGAUUUUAUUUUUUCCUUUUUCUCCCCAAAGCCCCCCGUACAUAGUUGUAUAUUCUUCGUUGUGGUUUCUUCUAGUUGUGGCAUGUGGGACGCUGCCUCAGCAUGGUCUGAUGAGCAGUGCCAUGUCCGCGCCCAGGAUUCGAACCAACGAAACACUGGGCCGCCUGCAGCGGAGCGCGCGAACUUAACCACUCGGCCACGGGGCCAGCCCCCUGUAAUACAAUUUUCUUUACUUGCAACAAACACAUUACCAGAUGCACGUUGUUGAGUCUCCAUAUCUUCAGUCCACAGGACUUCACCUGGUUUCAGUAACUGAAUAAAGGGGCAAAAAUCAGAUUGUAUUCUGGACAAGAUAAAUCUGAAACUAUGCCUACCAUCCUCUCUGGAUCCCAUGAUCCUUUCUCUCUUCACCAUACGCCAACUAUGUCAUUUUUCCAGAAAUGUCAUCACUUGGAAUCAACACAUUGGUGUUUGAGGUGACAACUUAAUGGUGUGCUGCCACUGAAAAAACUCCUUUAAAAAAUCCAGCUAUCCCACUGCUGGGUAUUUAUUCAAAGAACUUGAAAACACCAAUGCAUAAAGAUACAUGCACCCCUAUGUUGAUUGCAGCAUUAUUCACAAUAACCAAGACUUGGAAGCAAUGUAGGUGCCCAUCAAGGGACGAGUGGAUAAAGAAGAUGUGGUAUCUAUACACAGUGGAAUACUACUCAGCCAUAAGAAAUGAUGAAAUCCGGCCAUUUGUGACAACAUAGAUGGACCUUGAGGGUAUUAUGCUAAGUGAAAUAAGUCAGAGGGAGAAAGUCAAAUACCAUAUGAUCUCACUCAUAAGUAGACAAUAAAAACAAUGACAAACAAACACAUAGCAAUGGAGAUUGGAUUGGUGGUUACCAUAGAGGAAGGGGGGAGGGGGAGGGCAAAAGGAGUGAUUAGGUUCACAUGUGAGGGGAUGGACUAUAAUUAGUUUUUGGGUGGUGAAGAUGAUGUAAUCUACACAGAAUUCAAAAUACAUUAUGAUGUACAUCUGAAAGCUAUAUAAUGUUAUAAUCCAAUGUUACGCAAUAAAAUAGAAAACCA